GUGUCUUCUCCUCUAUCGCUACCAAAAUAUCCUAACACGGCCGUUCCCCUUCCUUUUUUUUAUUGCACUUUUUCUCUCUCUUUUCUACGUCCCUCUUCUCCUACCUUACUCCAUGUGCGCACAGCGCACCCCCCUCCCGCGUAUUUUAGUCACCGCCACCAUUUCCCGAUUAACCUCUUCUUCACAUCAAAUAUCUUCAUCCCUGUUCUCUUCUCACGCCAAAAUCAAGCCUAAGUUCCAACGAUGGUUCAGCUUUUCGAAAUCAUCGAAUUUCAAUUUUUAUGAUAUAUAUAAUUUUACCAAGUUCUGCUAA